rnacentral:snRNA from 1 species
UCCAUCGAUUAAUCGUAUUGAGAAAUU